GUCCGGCAGGGCACGGGGCAACUGAGGAGUGCCCAGAGGACACCUCCACGCCCGGGCUUGCGCCUCUAUUCCCGGACAUACGGUCUCGUCGCCAAGGGAGACCGAGCCUCUCAGACUCUUCGAGGCGGGUGGCGUAGCUCUGGGAAGGCGCCAGGAGCCUCAGCGAUUCGGUCGUGACAGGCCCCAAAGCAGAGGGAGGGGAGUUCCGGGCCCGACGACUUCAAUCCAUCCCCACAGUGCCCCAGCUCUGUGACUCACCCGAACUCCACCUCCACCGACAAGGGCGCUGCCAUGUUGAGGAAGCCGAGCUCACAGGAAAUUCCCUUAAACUUCCGGCCCUCCCGCCCACUUCCGGUCGCCACGAGCGGAAGAGGCGGUGCCCAGAGGGUCAUCCUCCGCAGCCAUUGGAGGAAGGCCGGGAGCUAGGCGGGUAGGUCGCGGGUCUCGUUAGGGGCUCAUGAGUUGGUCACCUACCUUUCUGGGACGGGCCUCAGGGAGCUAAGUGGGCAGCGGCUUGUGCGAGCCACAGCUAGGCGGGGAGCCCGGGCAUCUUUGCGUCGUACCUGUGAGCCACGUUACUGCUUAUCUUGCAAAAGUUACAAGUCUGUCUUAAGCCCGCACACCGCUUGGGUGAGCCCGUCCAUUCGUCUUGACUUGACUUGACUUGAAUUAUAAGUGACUACAAGUCUUUAUUUCCAGCCCAGAAAUCUCUCCUGAGCUAUUGAGUCGCUAUCCGGGCGCUCCUUUGGUUAUCGAUUUGGGUUUUACUCAUUCAGCAGACAUUUGCUGCACGUCCUCCGUGUACCAGGCAUCUUGGUCAGUGCUACAGGUGCAGUGGUGAACGGGAUGAGAAGGGUUCCUGCUUUUAGGGCACUCACAGUGUAGUGGUGGAAGCUAACUGUAAUCAGAGAAACAGAUCAAUCAUACUAAUAAAUAGAAAAUCUCUAACUGAAAGAAGUGACCUGAAGUUAUAGGAACUUCAAAAAGAAAACCAAUUGGACUGGACACAGCUAAGCAAUAAAGCUGAGUAACGUAGGUGGAUAUGAGGGUGGAGAGAAACCUCUGAAACAUUCCAAUGAGGAGGACAGAAGAUGCAAAGGCCCUGAGUUGGAGACCAUGCUGGGACACCAAGAGAGGAAAGUGGAAUUUGGGGAGCAGAGGGGCUGGUAAGAGAUGAUGCUAGGAAGGGGGCAGGGGCCAAAUCACACCUUGAGAGCCAGGGGCAUCACCCCUACAGGGCAGGAGAGACUGGCGCAGUGAGACACGCCCCCGGGGCCAACAUCACACAGCUCAUCAACGCUGGAACUGGGAUUUGAAUCCAGGUCUGUUGGCCAGCGCUGCAGAACCAACCGGCCGGGAGCCAGACGGGUGGGUAAGGACAUCAUCCUGGCCCCUCCAGCCCCAGCUGAGUCACAAGCGAUGGCAGCUCUUCCACUCCAGGGGGGGCCAGCAGCAGAACUGCUCAGCUGAACUUGACCCCAAAUUGCUGACCCACCACUGAGAGCAAAAACAUGACUGUUUUAUGCCCUAAAGUAAGUUUUGGGGUGUUUGUGCUGUAGCAAACCCUCUGAAACCUGAGGGCUGACGGCUUCCCUGCCUCUCCUGCACAGAGAAGUCAGCUGUCACCCAAAACUCAGGAGCUCUCAGGCUCAGUCAUGCACUGUUCAGGUGCUCCUAGGGGCCUACUACCUGGCAGGGGCCACCUCGGUCAGGGCAGGCCUUCCAGCAGGGCAGGGCUUGACAUGAUGAGCGUAUGGGAGGUGGCCUGAGGCUGAGCAGGGGGAGAGUCCGGACAGGGCAACAAGCACUAAGGCAAGCUGGGGGCAGGACUGGGCAGGACCCCCAGACUUCCUGCCCAUCAGGGGACCCGUCAGUGGUCCAACAGACAGAGGCUGGCACUGCCCUGCUAUGUGACCGUGGACCCACCACUCACCUCUCGCCUGGACAACAGCAAGAGCCCCUCACUCGUCUCCCCACUCCCCUGGGGCUGUCUGCAGCCCUCUCCUGCACUCCACAUGGCAUUCAGAGGACUGUGUGGAACAUGCACCUGACAUAGGUCACUGCUCUACUCAAACACUUCUGUGGCUCCCUACUGCCUGGACAUAGUCCAGGCCCCUCCCCAGCCCACAGAGUCUUCUGGUCUCCACUGACCUCUCUGCCCCACCUGACAUCACUGCCUGCCCCCACCCCCCCUCCCUUGGCUCCAGCUUUGGGGGCCUCCUUUCCUUCCUCUCUUGGCCAAGUGCCGUCCUGUCUCAGGACCUGCCUGGAAUGCCUCCCACCCCACAAACCCCGCCCUUUCAUUCAGGUCUCAGCUCAAACAUCACUUCCUCAGGGGGGCCUCCCAGGCACCCCACCCCCAUUCAUUUGCUUUUCUGUCAGUUUGAUCUGUAUUCUGUCCUUUCAAUUUGGAAUUCCGUGUCCUCUGCUGCCUCCCCUACCGCUGAACAGGCUUCAAGAAGGCAAAGGUCCCAUCAGAAUUUGUUACCUAUAUCCCCAAAGGCCUAGCACAGAGCCUGGCAGGCACAUAGUAGGUACUCAGUAAACAUUCGUCCCGCUAACGGACGUAUGAACCUUCUCUCUCUGAAGGCUCAGUCCAUUCACUUGUACACAGGGAGGUCUGCUUACCAACGACACAGCAAUGCUGUGGGUAAAGGUCAAAUGACAGCCGCCCGGGUCUCUCCAAAAGGAACCAAGAAGGGGCACAGGCCUGGGGCCUGUAAGCUGGAGCAGGGGAGGGGACAUACCCGUUU